AACACUAGGGGUGCCAAAAGCUGAGAGAGGAUUGAUCCUCAACCCUUGAACCUGAUCUGGAUAAUGCCAGCGCAGGGAAGUGGUUGUA
rnacentral:ncRNA from 1 species